AUGGAGGGCGUGCUGCUGCUGCUCCUCCUCCUCAUGCCGGCGUCGGCAACGGCGAUCGGGAUCACCUGCGGCAGCGGCCGGAACUACACGGCCAACACCACCUUCCAGUCCAGCCUCUCCGUGCUCGCCGCCACCAACUACGACGAGGUGAACGCCCUCCAACCAGGCUGCAUCCUGGGCUUCUCCGGCGACGCCGGCUUCCUCGGCCAGGCAUCAAGUGUCACCGGGAACGGCACCUUCUUCCAGUACUGGAACCCGGUGAACCUCCCCGGCAACGCCCGCGUCAUCGCGACUGCCGUCCGCGAGCUCCUCAACGAGACGGCACGGGACGCGGCCGCCUCGGCCAGGGGGUUCGCCACGGCCUUCAUGGACUCCAUUGGCGGCGCCGACGCUCUACUCCCUGGCGCAAUGCACGCCGGACCUGUCCGCCCGUGA
rnacentral:rRNA from 1 species